CCUACGGGUGGCUGCAGUGGGGAAUAUUGGACAAUGGGCGAAAGCCUGAUCCAGCCAUGCCGCGUGUGUGAAGAAGGCCUUCGGGUUGUAAAGCACUUUCAGUGGGGAAGAAAGCCUUGGGGCUAAUACCCUCGAGGAAGGACAUCACCCACAGAAGAAGCACCGGCUAACUCCGUGCCAGCAGCCGCGGUAAUACGGAGGGUGCGAGCGUUAAUCGGAAUUACUGGGCGUAAAGCGCGCGUAGGCGGUCUGAUAAGCCGGUUGUGAAAGCCCCGGGCUCAACCUGGGAACGGCAUCCGGAACUGUCAGGCUAGAGUGCAGGAGAGGAAGGUAGAAUUCCCGGUGUAGCGGUGAAAUGCGUAGAGAUCGGGAGGAAUAACAGUGGCGAAGGCGGCCUUCUGGACUGACACUGACGCUGAGGUGCGAAAGCGUGGGUAGCAAACAGGAUUAGAUACCCCGGUAGUC
rnacentral:rRNA from 1 species